rnacentral:lncRNA from 1 species
AUACUGUAUGAUCCCUUCCUUCAAAAAGCCUGUGUCACCAAGAUGGCAGAGUAGGAGACCCCAGCUCCAUCCCUCCACUAAGAUCAACAGACAGCUAUCCUUGAACAAAAACAGCUCUGGGAGAGCUCUGGAGUCCACUUAGGAAACGUCACAGUAGAACAAGGAACCUGAGAAUAACCACAUACAAAGGGAAGGAAGCACAGCUUCAUUUUGCCAGCAUUAUCCCGUCCCCCAGGCUGGCACUGCUCAGCACCAAGAGGGAACUCCUCCACCAGAAAGAGUCCCCCUUGUGAGAGACGGAGAGCAGGGUGAGUGACCAGCUUCCCCAGUCUUUCAGGGCACUGCACAAAGGACCCAUUUUGAUUUCACCCCACCCAGAGACCAGUAAAGCUGAGACAUAUAGAGAUGGCUGGGAACAAAGAAGAACAGAGGCUCCCAAUAUUAGCCACCCAGUGGAAGUGACCACGGUUCCUAUUGACCUGCUCGGCAGAGGACCCCAACAGUUUUUGCCACUGAAGAAACCAACAGACCACCUGCAGAUUUCACUAGUUUUAAUCCCACAGAUUCCCACAGUGCUUGCCAAGGACCAUGCUGUUGUCAGUGUUGUGGACCCUGGUGCUGAUGAGAUGUCAUGCCCCUCUGGACCUGGAGAUGCCACAUGCUUUCCCCUCCCCUUGGUGCCCUGCACCACUAGACCUUGGGUCACAGCACAUUCCAGGUGUCCCCCACCCACAAAUGAAGGUCUUUCUUUACUACAGUCAGUCCAUGAAGUAUGGAAAAAGUGAAUACUUGUUUGGAUGUGAAGACACCUGCACAAGGUUACAGGAUCGUGAAGAAUCACUACCAAAAGGAAUACAGUAAAACUCCAGUAAC